GAUCAAUGAUGAAACCUAUCCCGAAACUGAUGACCUGAAGAAAAAAUGAAAAAAAAAUUGCAGUU